GACGAACGCUGGCGGCGUGCCUAAUACAUGCAAGUAGAACGCUGAAGACUUUAGCUUGCUAAAGUUGGAAGAGUUGCGAACGGGUGAGUAACGCGUAGGUAACCUGCCUACUAGCGGGGGAUAACUAUUGGAAACGAUAGCUAAUACCGCAUAACAGCAUUUAACACAUGUUAGAUGCUUGAAAGGAGCAAUUGCUUCACUAGUAGAUGGACCUGCGUUGUAUUAGCUAGUUGGUGAGGUAACGGCUCACCAAGGCGACGAUACAUAGCCGACCUGAGAGGGUGAUCGGCCACACUGGGACUGAGACACGGCCCAG
rnacentral:rRNA from 1 species